rnacentral:rRNA from 1 species
AUUGAACGCUGGCGGCAGGCUUAACACAUGCAAGUCGAGCGGAGAGAGGUAGCUUGCUACCGAUCUUAGCGGCGGACGGGUGAGUAAUGCUUAGGAAUCUGCCUAUUAGUGGGGGACAACAUUUCGAAAGGAAUGCUAAUACCGCAUACGUCCUACGGGAGAAAGCAGGGGAUCUUCGGACCUUGCGCUAAUAGAUGAGCCUAAGUCGGAUUAGCUAGUUGGUGGGGUAAAGGCCUACCAAGGCGACGAUCGGUAGCGGGUCUGAGAGGAUGAUCCGCCACACUGGGACUGAGACACGGCCCAGACUCCUACGGGAGGCAGCAGUGGGGAAUAUUGGACAAUGGGCGGAAGCCUGAUCCAGCCAUGCCGCGUGUGUGAAGAAGGCCUUAUGGUUGUAAAGCACUUUAAGCGAGGAGGAGGCUACUUUAGUUAAUACCUAGAGAUAGUGGACGUUACUCGCAGAAUAAGCACCGGCUAACUCUGUGCCAGCCGCCGCGGUAACAC